rnacentral:rRNA from 1 species
CCCGCUGAACUUAAGCAUAUCAAUAAGCGGAGGAAAAGAAACUAACAAGGAUUCCCCUAGUAACUGCGAGUGAAGCGGGAAAAGCUCAAAUUUAAAAUCUGUCAGUCUUUGGCUGUCCGAGUUGUAAUCUAGAGAAGUGUUAUCCGCGCUGGACCGUGUACAAGUCUCCUGGAAUGGAGCGUCAUAGAGGGUGAGAAUCCCGUCUUUGACACGGACUGCCAGGGCUUUUGUGAUGCGCUCUCAAAGAGUCGAGUUGUUUGGGAAUGCAGCUCAAAAUGGGUGGUAAAUUCCAUCUAAAGCUAAAUAUUGGCGAGAGACCGAUAGCGAACAAGUACCGUGAGGGAAAGAUGAAAAGAACUUUGGAAAGAGAGUUAAACAGUACGUGAAAUUGCUGAAAGGGAAGCGCUUGCAAUCAGACUUGCUUGCAGCCGAUCAUCUGGUGUUCUCACCAGUGCACUCGGUUGUGAUCAGGCCAGCAUCAGUUUGGACGGUUGGAUAAAGGCCUUGGGAAUGUAGCUUCUUUCGGGGAGUGUUAUAGCCCUUGGUGCAAUGCAAUCAGCCUGGACUGAGGACCGCGCUUCGGCUAGGAUGCUGGCGUAAUGGUUGUAAGCGACCCGUCUUGAAACACGG